rnacentral:rRNA from 1 species
UAGCGAAGGGGGCUAGCGUUGUUCGGAAUUACUGGGCGUAAAGCGCGCGUAGGCGGUGAUCUUUGUCAGAGGUGAAAGCCUGGGGCUCAACUCCAGAAUUGCCUUUGAAACGGGAUCGCUUGAGUCCGAGAGAGGAUGGCGGAAUUCCUAGUGUAGAGGUGAAAUUCGUAGAUAUUAGGAAGAACACCGGUGGCGAAGGCGGCCAUCUGGCUCGGUACUGACGCUCAGGCGCGAAAGCGUGGGGAGCAACAGGAGUUGAGAU